GUGGGGCUUCUGGGAGGUGACUGGAGCACGGGAGUAUAAUACUGGAUUUGUCCACUGAUAGGUUUAUAGCUGGGUGUGAUGUUAGCUGGUGAAGCCUGGUGGAAGAGGUGGCUCAUUGUGUGAGUGGCCUGGAAUGGAAUACAUCCCUCCUCUUCCCUUGAUGGCUGCUGCUUCCCACCUGCCAUGCCCCUCUGCCAUGCUGCCCUACCCUGGAGCCAACUGACUAUGAACUGAAACUUUUACAAACUGUGAGUUAAAAUAAAUCUCUCCUCCUUUAACUUGUGGGUGUUAGGUAUUUUGUCCCAGUAAUGAGCAAGUAACUAAGACAGGCUGUAAGGGACAGUUAGUUCCAUGUCUGCCUCUAAGGUUCUGGUGGCUGCUGCCAGUUCUUGGCAUUCUUUGGUUUACAGAUGGAUCCUGAACUCUGUCUGUUAUCACAUGAUCUUCCCUUGGUGUGUCUGUGUCUGUUUCCAAAUUUCUCUUUCCUUGCUCUUAUAGAGACACCAAUUGUUAGAUUUAGGGCCCAACCUAAACCAGUAUGACCUCAUCUCAACUUGUUUGUAUCUGCAAAGACUUUAUUUCAGAAAAUGUUGAAUUCACCUGUACUGAGCUAUGUGUAUGUAUGUGUGUGUGUUCCUGGAGAUUGAACCCAGGACCUACACACUUAGUUACAUCCCUAGUCCAUCUUUAAUUUUUUUUAAAUUUAAGACAAGAUCUCGCUAAAUUGCCCAAGUUGGUCUCAAAUUUAUAAUCCUCCUGCCUCAGCCUCCCAGAGUGCUGGAAUUACAGGCAUGUGCCACCUUGCCCAGUGAGGGUUAGGUUUUGUACAUAUGUUUUUGGAGGACACAAUCAACUCACUCUAGGACUUUAUCAAAAAGCCCUGACAGAUGUAAGAGGAUGAAGUUAUACCUCCCCUGGUCAUUCUGCACCCAGAGUACCCCAAAGUUUCCAGUUCUCCUGUUUCCCACAACCAGAGUGCAGACUCUCUGACUGCCUGGAUGUCCAGCGUAUUCUGACAGAUUGCUCUGGACUGCCAAGUACUAAUAAGAAGCAAUAACUGAAUCAACAAGUUAUUUUUACAAGAAAUAGAAAACGUGCUGUCAGCACUUCCUGUGAACCAAAGCUCCCUGGAAGGAUACCAAGUUUGAGAGUAAUGACCAGGUCAUCCUGGCUGGUCCAGGCUCUCUCUGGCUCUUGGGAGAGGCACAGGUGGGCUGUGGACCUGGUGUGCCCUUCUCCACCUUUGCAUUGCCUCUGACCAGGGUUAUUAGGCCAGGGUUAUUACAGUGCACCGGCCCAAGGCCCCAGGACACCGGAGGCUCAAAGAUCCUGAGCUGAGGGUCUGUGCUGCUGUGCCUUGGGCAGGGAGAACUUUCUCACUCACUGCUGCAUUAGCUCACAGGGCGUGAGCAGUGCGGGGCUCGGGGAAGGGAAGCCUCUGGCCUGGCCAGGCAGUUUCCCACUGUACCUGGCCCCAGCUCCUGGCCAAGUAACACAGGCUCAUAUAUAUGCUGCUGCCAUUCUUGAAGCCUGGGUCCUGGUGCUUAAAGCCUGAAAAUAAACACCCAUUUCCCUUGAGGGCAUUUGGAUCUAAUCUAUUUGUAUUGUGCAGAUUGUUUGCAUUCCUUCGUGUCUGAACUAGUGAAGGCUGACGUUGGCUUCUCAGUUCUUUUCCUGUUCAGGGAUGGAGUUGCCCCUGAAGCCUGAACUGAGCCUCCAGCAAUCUUAACCAAGCAGAUCAGGCCGCUGGCAGGUGAGGAGAGGAGAUAGUACUGGUGGAGGUUCUUUUAGGGCCUGGGAAAGGAGAGCUUGUGUGGGAGACAUUGAAGAAAAGUCUAUAUGACAAGAUUGCCAUCGUGAUCGAGUUCUAUGUUGUGCUAAUUCACCUGGAAAAUUUUAAAAUACAUUUAUUGUACGUUCUUCUCUUUAGGUUAGAAGGAAAUAACUGGAAUUCAGGUACUGAUGGACUUUCCUUAAUGUGCUGCCCAAAUAUUGUGGUAAAUACUGCAUGAGAUGCUGGGGAUCAAAGCCAAGACCUCAUACAUGCUUGGGCUCAGGAUGCAUGUGAUGACACUUCACGUUACGAAAUAGAAAACCAAGUGACUCUGUUUCAUGAUCCAUAAACCCCCUAACAAAAUCCCUCAGACACCAGGGAAAAAGCCGCCUUUGUGGUUCUAUUUUUAAUCUCUCUAUUUUUUAAUUCUCCUCAUUUCACCUUUAAAACUUCUCCUUGCUUCAAAUUUUUGAAUAUGCUCAAUUUACAAUGGCACUUGUAUUGCUAUUGCAAUGCCCUGCUAUUCCUAAAUAAAUAUAAUUAAUCCUUAGAGAA
ensembl:lncRNA